GCGGUGAGGGCGGGGAGGUGCAUGGUUCUCCGUGAAGCCCCUUCUUCCUUCAGUGUGACCGCAUUCUCUUUAACGGUGCCCGUCAGGGUUGAGCCAGGGAUGAGCCCCCUCCCCGCAUUGUUUUUGGAAUUCCACCAAGUCUGCAAUCCACUGAGGUUUUGUCCCUGGGCAGGUGGUUGCGCCUUGCCCUCAAAAGAUGAGCUGGUGCUGGGAGCCUUCUGCUGGUGGUGUGGCCUUUGUCCAGAGGCGGUUCAGGAAGGACAGUAGAGGCGGGCUGUCCCACAGACACACAUUCAGGCAGGACACAUCGGAGAUGGUGACUUCACCACGGCCACUGCCCUCGGACUCCCGGGAGACGGCCAGUUACCAUGGAUUCACAGUGCCAUGUUGCAGAGAUCUAGAAAUCAAACGAGACAUCAUGAUGGAUUUUGAUCCCGUGUUGAAACAAAAGCACCUGAUUAUCCUGACUCCUUCUUUACCUCUUUGAAACAGUUUCUCAGAGCAAUCUGAGAGGCUGCCCUCCCAGGCCGUAGUCCUCAGGAAGGCCGCCAAUAAAACAUAA